UGGGGAAUAUUGCACAAUGGGGGAAACCCUGAUGCAGCGACGCCGCGUGAAGGAAGAAGUAUUUCGGUAUGUAAACUUCUAUCAGCAGGGAAGAAAAUGACGGUACCUGAGUAAGAAGCCCCGGCUAACUACGUGCCAGCAGCCGCGGUAAUACGUAGGGGGCAAGCGUUAUCCGGAUUUACUGGGUGUAAAGGGAGCGUAGACGGUAAUGUAAGUCUGAUGUGAAAGCCCGGGGCUCAACCCCGGGACUGCAUUGGAAACUAUGUAGCUAGAGUACCGGAGAGGUAAGCGGAAUUCCUAGUGUAGCGGUGAAAUGCGUAGAUAUUAGGAGGAACACCAGUGGCGAAGGCGGCUUACUGGACGGAAACUGACGUUGAGGCUCGAAAGCGUGGGGAGCAAACAGG
rnacentral:rRNA from 1 species